rnacentral:rRNA from 1 species
CCUACGGGUGGCAGCAGUGGGGAAUAUUGGACAAUGGGGGGAACCCUGAUCCAGCCAUGCCGCGUGUGUGAAGAAGGCCCUCGGGUUGUAAAGCACUUUCAGUGAGGAAGAACGCCUGGUGGUUAAUACCCAUCAGGAAAGACAGCACUCACAGAAGAAGCACCGGCUAACUCCGUGCCAGCAGCCGCGGUAAUACGGAGGGUGCGAGCGUUAAUCGGAAUUACUGGGCGUAAAGCGCGCGUAGGUGGCUUGAUAAGCCGGUUGUGAAAGCCCCGGGCUCAACCUGGGAACGGCAUCCGGAACUGUCGAGCUAGAGUGCAGGAGAGGAGGGUAGAAUUCCCGGUGUAGCGGUGAAAUGCGUAGAGAUCUGGAGGAAUACCAGUGGCGAAGGCGGCCUUCUGGACUGAAACUGACGCUGAGGUGCGAAAGCGUGGGUAGCGAACAGGAUUAGAUACCCCAGUAGUC